rnacentral:rRNA from 1 species
CCUACGGGGGGCUGCAGUGAGGAAUAUUGGUCAAUGGACGCAAGUCUGAACCAGCCAUGCCGCGUGCAGGAAGACGGCUCUAUGCGUUGUAAACUGCUUUUGUACGGGGGUAAACGCAGAUACGCGUAUCUGUCUGAAAGUAUCGUACGAAUAAGGAUCGGCUAACUCCGUGCCAGCAGCCGCGGUAAUACGGAGGAUGCAAGCGUUAUCCGGAUUUAUUGGGUUUAAAGGGUGCGUAGGCGGUCGGAUAAGUUAGAGGUGAAAUCCCGGGGCUCAACUUCGGAAUUGCCUCUGAUCCUGGUCGGCUAGAGAGUAGUAGAGGUAGGUGGAAUGUAUGGUGUAGCGGUGAAAUGCGUAGAGAUCAGGCAGAACACCGAUUGCGAAGGCAGCUUACCGGGCUACUACUGACGUUGAGGCACGAAAGCGUGGGGAGCAAACAGGAUUAGAUACCCUAGUAGUC